CAAUAGCGUAUAUUAAAGUUGUUGCAGUUAAAAAGCUCGUAGUUGGAUUUGUGGUUCGUCCCGCCGGCUGGGUCAUUGACUUUUGCUGUGCUGGUCGUCCAUCCUUGGGUGGAAUCUGUGUGGCAUUAGGUUGUCGCGCAGGGGAUGCCCAUCGUUUACUGUGAAAAAAUUAGAGUGUUCAAAGCAGGCUUAUGCCGUUGAAUAUAUUAGCAUGGAAUAAUGAUAUAGGACCUUGGUACUAUUUUGUUGGUUUGCGCACUUAGGUAAUGAUUAAUAGGGACAGUUGGGGGUAUUCGUAUUCCAUUGUAAGAGGUGAAAUUCUUGGAUUUUUGGAAGACGAACUACUGCGAAAGCAUUUACCAAGGAUGUUUUCAUUAA
rnacentral:rRNA from 1 species